rnacentral:lncRNA from 1 species
UCCUUACCUGAUUCACCAUUGAUUGGCACCGAGAUUGAUUCCAUGAUUUUGCUAUUGUGAGUAAUGCUGCUGUGAAUAUAUGGGUGCAUGUGUCUUUUUCACAGGUCAUUAGUUAAAUAUUUAGUAUUUUUACAUGUAUAGAGAAAAAAACAAAAUAAAAUCAAAGUGUGCAUAUACAAUUUUAUCAAGUAUCAUUCUAUGAUAGUAUUUUUAAUUUAGAGCCAUUGGUUAGCUAUAAAUACAAUAUUUCAGAUAAUGGAAAAGGAAUAAAUAAUCAUUUCUGAAAGUGGAUUCAUUUCUAG